rnacentral:rRNA from 1 species
UACGAAGGGGGCUAGCGUUGCUCGGAAUCACUGGGCGUAAAGCGCACGUAGGCGGCUUACUAAGUCAGGGUGAAUCCUGGAGCUCAACUCCAGAACUGCCUUUGAUACUGGUGAGCUUGAGUCCGGAAGAGGUGAGUGGAACUGCGAGUGUAGAGGUGAAAUUCGUAGAUAUUCGCAAGAACACCAGUGGCGAAGGCGGCUCACUGGUCCGGUACUGACGCUGAGGUGCGAAAGCGUGGGAGCAAACA